GGGCCUGUAGCUCAGUUGGUUAGAGCACUCGCUUGAUAAGCGAGGGGUCGAUGGUUCAAGUCCAUUCAGGCCCA
rnacentral:tRNA from 2 species